rnacentral:rRNA from 1 species
CAAUAGCGUAUAUUAAAGUUGUUGCGGUUAAAAGCUCGUAGUUGGAUUUCUGCUGAGGACGACCGGUCCGCCCUCUGGGUGAGUAUCUGGUUCGGCCUGGGCAUCUUCUUGGAGAGCGUAGCUGCACUUGACUGUGUGGUGCGGUAUCCAGGACUUUUACUUUUGAAAAAUUAGAGUGUUCAAAGCAGGCUUUCGCUGUGAAUACAUUAGCAUAAAAUAAUAAUCUAGGACUUCGGUUUUAUUUUGUUGGUUUCUAACACUGAAGUAAUGAUUGAUAGGGAUAGUUGGGGGUGCUAGUAUUGACCGGCCAGAGGUGAAAAUCUUGGAUUCGGUCAAGACUAACGUAUGCGAAAGCAUUCACCAAGGAUGUCUUCUUUAAUCAUGAACGAAAGUUGGGGGAUCAAAGAUGAUCAGAUACCA